rnacentral:rRNA from 1 species
UACGUAGGGUGCGAGCGUUAAUCGGAAUUACUGGGCGUAAUGCGUGCGCAGGCGGUUUUGUAAGCCAGAUGUGAAAUCCCCGGGCUUAACCUGGGAAUGGCAUUUGGGACUGCAAGGCUCGAGUGCGGCAGAGGAGACUGGAAUUCCUGGUGUAGCAGUGAAAUGCGUAGAUAUCAGGAGGAACACCGAUGGCGAAGGCAGGUCUCUGGGCCAUAACUGACGCUGAGAAGCGAAAGCAUGGGGAGCGAACAGG